GACGUAGGGUGCAAGCGUUGUCCGGAAUUACUGGGCGUAAAGCGCACGUAGGCGGGUCGUUAAGUCAGGGGUGAAAUCCCAGAGCUCAACUCUGGAACUGCCUUUGAUACUGGCGACCUUGAGGCCGGAAGAGGUUAGUGGAAUUCCCAGUGUAGAGGUGAAAUUCGUAGAUAUUGGGAAGAACACCAGUGGCGAAGGCGGCUAACUGGUCCGGAUCUGACGCUGAGGUGCGAAAGCGUGGGGAGCAGACAGG
rnacentral:rRNA from 1 species